AUUGAACGCUGGCGGCAGGCUUAACACAUGCAAGUCGAGCGGAGAUGAGGUGCUUGCACCUUAUCUUAGCGGCGGACGGGUGAGUAAUGCUUAGGAAUCUGCCUAUUAGUGGGGGACAACAUUCCGAAAGGAAUGCUAAUACCGCAUACGUCCUACGGGAGAAAGCAGGGGAUCUUCGGACCUUGCGCUAAUAGAUGAGCCUAAGUCGGAUUAGCUAGUUGGUGGGGUAAAGGCCUACCAAGGCGACGAUCUGUAGCGGGUCUGAGAGGAUGAUCCGCCACACUGGGACUGAAAAACGGCCCAGACUCCUACGGGAGGCAGCAGUGGGGAAUAUUGGACAAUGGGGGGAACCCUGAUCCAGCCAUGCCGCGUGUGUGAAGAAGGCCUUAUGGUUGUAAAGCACUUUAAGCGAGGAGGAGGCUACUGAGACUAAUACUCUUGGAUAGUGGACGUUACUCGCAGAAUAAGCACCGGCUAACUCUGUGCCAGCCGCCGCAGUAACAC
rnacentral:rRNA from 1 species